CGUCACAACAACAAGUGCCACCAGCUGACAGCUCCUGCCUGGCACUUCUCUUACAAUUAUCUCGUAGUUACAGUAGAAACUGCUAAACAAACUUACACUUUGCUUCAAGAAGAAGCACUUACGCAACUUUCUGCGUCAGUGGAACCUCAGAAAAGUGUUAAGUGUGCCGUCAGGAGACGUUUAUGCUUCUGAAACAGGAAGGAGGAGAUGCUGUGCUUCUCCAGUACUGUGAUGAUUCACCGUUUCCUGUGUCAUUUGCAAAGCAAGAGCAGUGAUGUCAUAGCUUAGGCCUUCAAGCAGCUGGAAAAUUUACUGGCUGGCAUAAGAUCAACUGCUAACAAGUUAUGGAUGGUAAAAUUAGUUAAGAUUUUUUGGUGUG